GCACCCUUGGCGGAAUUGGCAGACGCAUAGGACUUAAAAUCCUUGGAGUUUAACUCGUGUGGGUUCGAGUCCCACAGGGUGUA
rnacentral:tRNA from 1 species